rnacentral:rRNA from 1 species
AGCUCUCCGAGUGGUGUGGACGUUUAUUGGGCCUAAAGCAUCCGUAGCUGGCUGAACAAGUCCCCUGUUAAACCCACCGAUUUAAUCGUUGGUCUGCGGGGGAUACUGCUCGGCUAGGGGACGAGAGAGGCAGACGGUAUUCCCGGGGUAGGGGUGAAAUCCUAUAAUCCCGAGAAGACCACCAGUGGCGAAGGCUGUCUGCUAGAACGCGCCCGACGGUGAGGGGAUGAAAGCUGGGGGAGCGAACC